rnacentral:rRNA from 1 species
UAAGACGGAGGGGGCAAGCGUUGUUCGGAUUCAUUGGGCGUAAAGGGCUCGUAGGCGGACAGGUAAGUCUGGCGUGAAAUCUCCACCACUCAACGGGGAGAGGUCGUCGGAAACUGCUUGUCUGGAGUACGGUAGAGGACCAUGGAAUUCCAGGUGUAGCGGUGGAAUGCGUAGAGAUCUGGAAGAACACCGGUGGCGAAGGCGGUGGUCUGGGCCGUGACUGACGCUGAGGAGCGAAAGCCAGGGGAGCAAACGGGAUUAGAUACCCCGGUAGUCCUGGCCGUAAACGUUGAAUACUAGGUGUGGGGGGUAUCGACCCCUCCCGUGCCGCAGCUAACGCAGUAAGUAUUCCGCCUGGGAAGUACGGCCGCAAGGUUG